rnacentral:rRNA from 1 species
AACGAACGCUGGCGGCAGGCCUAACACAUGCAAGUCGAGCGAGAUCUUCGGGUCUAGCGGCGGACGGGUGAGUAACGCGUGGGAAUAUGCCUCUUGGUACGGAAUAGCCUCGGGAAACUGGGAGUAAUACCGUAUGUGCCCUUUGGGGGAAAGAUUUAUCGCCAAGAGAUUAGCCCGCGUUGGAUUAGGUAGUUGGUGGGGUAAUGGCCUACCAAGCCGACGAUCCAUAGCUGGUUUGAGAGGAUGAUCAGCCACACUGGGACUGAGACACGGCCCAGACUCCUACGGGAGGCAGCAGUGGGGAAUCUUAGACACUGGGGGCAACCCUGAUCUAGCCAUGCCGCGUGAGUGAUGAAGGCCUUAGGGUUGUAAAGCUCUUUCAGCUGGGAAGAUAAUGACGGUACCAGCAGAAGAAGCCCCGGCUAACUCCGUG